rnacentral:tRNA from 1 species
GGCUCGUUGGUCUAUGGGUAUGAUUUUCGCUUUGGGUGCGAGAGGUCCCGGGUUCAAAUCCCGGAUGAGCCC